GACGAACGCUGGCGGCGUGCUUAACCCAUGCAAGUCGAACGGAGUGGCGAACGGGUGAGUAACACGUGGGUGAUCUGCCUUGCACUUCGGGAUAAGCUUGGGCAACUGGGUUUAAUACCGGAUAGUGCAAGAUGAGCUCGCGUCCUGUCAGCUUGUUGGUGGGGUAAUGGCCUACCAAGGCGUCGACGGGUAGCCGGCCUGAGAGGGUGUACGGCCACAUUGGGACUGAGAUACGGCCCAGACGCCUACGGGAGGCAGGAGUGGGGGAGAUUGGACAAUGGGCGGAAGCCUGAUGCAGCGACGCCGCGUGGGGGAUGAAGGCCUUCGGGUUGUAAACUCCUUUCGACAGGGACGCGGUACCUGUAUAAGAAUCACCGGCUAACUACGUGCCAGCCGCCGCGGGAAUUC
rnacentral:rRNA from 1 species